rnacentral:lncRNA from 1 species
AGUUUCUUAUAAAUGGCCUUCUGUGGGCAAUCCUUCCACAUCGGUUGCCUAUUUCGGAACCAGCUAUGAAAAGGUGAUAACUAUGCCUCCUUCUCAGCCUCUCAACCUUUAUCUCUGCUUUUCUGAGAUUUCGAUAUUUAGUCAUUUUUGAAGUUGAGGCCUUGGUCUCUUCAUACCUAUUUAUUGAUUUUAGAAGCUGCAGCCUUGGUCUUUUGAUACCUCUGUUCUGUUGGGGAGUCUUAUUAGAUGUUUGAUUCUUAUUUGCUUCUUAUGUUAGUCUAAACAUCUUUAACUUUUUGCUCAUAUCUAUGUCUGUCAUGUAUACUUUACUCUCAUUCUUUAUCUCUGCUUUUCUGCGAAUUCGGUAUUUAGUGAUUUUAGAAAUUGAAGCCUGCGUCUUUUGAUACCUAUUUAGCGAUUUUAGAAAUUGAAGCCUUGGUCUUUUGAUGCCUAUUCAGUGAUUUUAGAAAUUAAGCACUUGGUCUUGUGAUACCUCUGAUCCAUUGGGGAGUCUUAUUUGAUGUUGUUUGACUCUUACUUGCUUCUUAUAUAUUGCUAAUCUAAACAUCUUUAGGUUUUUGCUCAUGUCUAUGCCUGUCAAGUAUAUUUUACUUUUUCGAAGACUGCUUACUGAAAGAUUAACAGGGUGGUUGAGGAGUUGUUGUGGCUGGAACUCAUUUGGCUGAUUGAUUGGUGGGCUGCUGUUAAGACCUGUUUCUAAUCCCAUUUCUCAGGAAUUAACUGUUGUCUUAUUUUUUCUUACCACUCAUGUGUAGUUUCUAUCAUGAAAUUGCUGUUAUUGGGAACACACAAUUCAGAUUGGUUCAUGAAUCAACUAAUUCUUUCUUCUAAUACCACUCACUCCUGGUUCACAUGAUAAUUUAGAAAUUGUAGGCUUAAAAAGAAAGCUUUCCAGCAAACUUGCUGGUACGUCACCUGGUAUACAACCUGAAUGGCAGGUACUUCUUUCGACUUAAACCUAGCUGUGAAAAUAAGUUUACUAAAUAAAUAAUAGAGGACUAAUAUUAAAGCAUGCUGCAGAGCUUGUGCUUGAGCAGUUUCUUUGCAAGGAAAGUACACCAGUGUGCUAUAUUUU